AAGUCGUAACAAGGUUUCCGUAGGUGAACCUGCGGAAGGAUCAUUAACGAAUAUCUAUGGCGUUGGUUGUAGCUGGCUCCUAGGAGCAUUGUGCACGCCCGUCAUUCAUAUCUUUCCACCUGUGAACCAUUUGUAGGCCUGGAUACCCCUCGCUUUGGCAACAAAGCGGAUGCAAGGAUUGCUGCGUCGACAAGGCCGGCUCUCUUUGAAUUUCCAGGUUCUAUGUCUUUUACACACCCCAUUCGAAUGAUUUAGAAUGUAGUCAAUGGGCUUUCAUGCCUAUAAAAAACUAUACAACUUUCAGCAACGGAUCUCUUGGCUCUC
rnacentral:misc_RNA from 2 species